UCCAGGAGUACACAACGGGAAGGUUUUAUUGAAUUUUGACAGCUUGCUGCUUUUGUACAUUACAUUUUUGUACAUUACAUGGGUGAAACAUGAGGGGACUUUGUGAGGAGGAGGGUUUCUAAAGAGGUUCUGCCCAAGCUGAGCGCCUCUCUGGCACGGCAGGCUCCGAUAAAGCGCCAAGGCUGGGCCUGUCUACACACACACCCUGGCCUACAAACUGCAGCUGGCUGUAUUGCAGGGGCUGGGCUGACUGUGCCAGAGACUGGAUCUGGCUGAAGCAGACCUAGAUGCUGUUUGUGAAGCCUGUCUACCCUACCUGAGCUCCAGACAACCCAUCAGACUGCAAGAAGCCUGUUUAAGUGUGUUCCGACACUUAAUCCAGGUGGAUCCGGACACCUUCUGGUUUACUCUCAAUGAGCUGCACUGCCGUCCUCUUACAUCCCACACCACCCCGACCUCCUGCCGGUGCAGCUGAACGGCACGGGCAGGCCGAGAGACGAGUUCUCGGACAACGUGUUCAAACUGCUCAAGGAGGAGUUUGGCUCCGUUACUGAGACAGUUAACCAGCCAGUCAGCUAAUGAGCUGCUGCUUGAUGAAAUUGACUCACCUCACAAACGGACGGCUUAUUGAACC